rnacentral:rRNA from 1 species
AACGACUCUCGGCAACGGAUAUCUCGGCUCUCGCAUCGAUGAAGAACGUAGCGAAAUGCGAUACUUGGUGUGAAUUGCAGAAUCCCGUGAACCAUCGAGUCUUUGAACGCAAGUUGCGCCCCAAGCUUUCUGGCCGAGGGCACGUCUGCCUGGGUGUCAC